AGGAAUAAAGGUAUCUGUAAGGUGUUAUGGGUCAAACAGUAUGACUUUGUCAAUACUAUAGCUUUACAAUCCAAGUACAUUUCAUUGUUUUACCGCUUGAGGUGAGGGCUGUUAUCACUAUAACUGGUAUUGCCUUGUUGCCACACCCUGUGCCAGCAGAUUGCCUAAACUGACACAGGAUGUGCACCUCCCUCUUGCUCCAACAGGGAUUGUACUGCUGUAACAUUUUCAACUCUGUUCAGUAGUAUUUUCCUAAGGGAAUCUUAACUAAAUGUCAAUGUGUUUAUUUACAUGUUAUUACUCUGGAAGCAUAUUGCUUUGUGAGUGCACAGCAGCUGAUAACAACAAGUAUUGCAGUUGUUUAUUGUAAGUAUUUUAAGUACUCAGCUCCACCAGAACUGUCAAUUGCUUUAUUAAUGGGCAGUUUUAUAAUAGAGAUCUGUUAAAAUACUGUUCCGCAAAACCUUUCUAAAACAACUUGAAUGAAUUAUUUUGUAGAAAACCAUUACUUUCCAAAUAUUUUUAGUAUUUUGAUACUAGUAGUAUUUCAGUAAACUGCGUUUUCUUUAAUUUAAAUAAUUUAUGUACACUGGAUAUUAAGAAUAUUCAGGCUCUUUAUUUGUGAAAGUAAUGAGGUGCCUCAAAAAGACACCCACUUGUACCUACCUAUAUACAGGUACCUACAGAAAUAUGUAAAAAUGUCUCUAAAUGCUGGCCUUCAGUUUCCAGCAGAUCUGGUCAUUGGUGUUCUUUAGAGUUUGUGUAUGCAAUGCAUGUUGGGUUAGAUACAUUACUGAGGGAAUGCACGGUCCACAUGUGCUGUUUAUAUGUAGUCAAUAUAAUUAUUUAUACCUCUUAUAAGUGUAAUUUUUUUCAAAAGAGAGGAAGAAUAAACUUGAUCAGGAUGUGAUGUCUUUAUAGAAAUGGAACUGCCAUUGUGUGUCCUGUCCUGUAGACAUGAGGACACUGGGUUUUUUUUAGAAAAAACAACCAAACUAUGUCCCAAGGUCACAUAGCUGUAGCCUAAGCAAAAAUCAUGUUUUGAACAUGCUUAAAAUCCUCCAGAAAAAUGUCUUGCAUAAGAAAAUAAUUUAAAAAUCUUCCACACAUUAAGAUCAUAACUUUUCUCCAAAAGCAAAUAUUAGAGACUUAGACUUACUGCAACUCAGUGUGAUCCAGUUUAAGAAAAAAUGUCAAUAUGGAUUAAAAGUCCUCCCCCUGCAGAGGGGAGAAGGCAACCAGUCCCUGCUGCUGCUGCUUCCAGAAUGUUUUCUAAUAUCCCUAGCUGCACAGUAGGACUAGGCUGGCAAGACAGACAGGGAAACUCUUGAAUGGCUGAUGUCUUCUUUUAGCAGAAGUGGUAGAUUCUUCCCAUCAUUGCCGAUUAUUUACUCACAUAGCACUCCUUGUUGACUUUCCAGUAGUCAACAUCCAUAUACGAUAACUGGAGACAAGAACAGACUAUGGAAAUGAAAAAAAUUAUCCACCUGCUCUCUGUGUAUCCAGUGGGUUGUUUCUUUAUGAUCCUAUGACUGUCUGCAAAUUCUUCUUAUGGGCAACUGGAUGCCUUUAUUGCCACCUCUGCUUGAAGACACCAAUUCAAGAACCCAAUUUAUGAAGAGUCUUGAACGUGUUUGGCAGAUUUCCUCAGCUGCUGUACUUUAAUGUGCAGUGGGAACCCUCUCUUUCUGGAAUUAUUCCUCGCUUCUCAUUUUUGUUUUUUGUUUUUCACUGUGUUUUCAUUUUGACUAAUUCUUUCUCAAAUAUGCACCAUUUGAUUGAUUUAAAAUUCAUAAGUACUGGAUUUAGGUUUCUUAGCAUGUAGGGUGCUUAAUGCCCUCAGCUGCAGUUUCCUAAAGUAACAUAAGGAAUUCAAAUACAGCGGUGACGAUGCUGCACAUUUUACAGAAUACAAAUAGGGGGUUUUAGGUUCUUAGAUCUCUUGCUGUGAAGUACCAGUAAUCCUGUGCUAGUCAACAUCUGUGCUGUCUGGAUGUAGCUGGCCUUGUUUUUUAUUUUUAUUCAGCUAGCAGAGAAGCAAUUAUUCCUGUGGCAACCAGAUCCUGCAGGGUUAAUGCUAUUUCUUUGAAGUUACUACUGCUAUUGCUUGCUACAUCUUUUUGUCGUCCUUUUUCAAAGUGUCUCCUGUUGCACGGAUUGUCAGUUUAAAGGAAUGCAAAAUGGGUUACCAGGAUAGGAAAAACUCUGCUGUUUUAAAGCCAUGAUAAAGCUCUCAUCUUACAAAUGAGUGUGAUAUACAGUGCACAUAAGUUGCACUGCAUAUCACAGUUUUUACUUUUACAGUUCUUAAUAACAGGCAAGUGUAAAACCGUUUCUAUCCAGAAUAUAAAACUAAUAAUAUUACAUGUUAAUAGCAAUACCUUUUUAAGUCAAGAGUACCGUUCUCAUAUUAGUUAAUUAGUUACACAGUGUCCCUUCAUUCACUGAGUUACUUUAUUUCACAUGGGAAUGGUUCAAAGCUGUGCCAGGGGAGGUUUAGGCUGGACAUUAGGAAGCAUUUCUUUGCCGAGAGGGUGGUCAAAUACCGGAACAGCUCGAUGUCCCAAGCCUGUUAGUGUUUAAGAGGCAUUUGGACAAUGCUCUUAGUAAUGUGCUUUAACUUUUGCUCAGCCUUGAAUAGGUCAGGCAGCUGGACUAGAAGAUCAUUUUAGGUCCAUUCCAGCUGAAAUAGUCUAUUCUAUUCCAUACCAUUCCAUUCCAUUCCAUUCCCAAAAUUGCCUUGCUCCACCCACCCUGAAAAAUAUGAAUAUAAUAGUAAGGAUAGUACCUUGGGUUUAGUAACAUCUGUUUGCAGUUUUGUUUUUCAAUGUACCAUAUUUAAAGCUUUCUAAAAAAAAUAAUUCAGUGGACAGCUGCUGCAGUUAAGGCACCUAAUUCUAAUAAUUCAUUACUUUCUAAAAGGUAUAAUUCAUCCUUUCAGUAAAAGUAGCUGGCUCAUUCAUUACUUGCCUUGCUGAAUCCCUCUUAUUUUUCACUUGUUAGUGAUCUGGAGUGAGAAGAUGUUUUGUACAUCCUCCUCUCUUUGUCUUUUGACAUUCAGAUAUCUGUGUAAAUAAGCAUAUUUAAGAGUCCCCAAAAACUUGCAUAGUCAAUAAAUGAAUGCCCUACAGAUUUUGGCUUCUCUGUCAUUUGGCUGUUUUGGAAAACUUCUCCCAUAAUGCUACAUCCCUUUCCAUUCUUUUCAGCAUUUCUUCUCAUAGUAUCUUUAAAUGCAGAAACUUUUUAAAGUGCUGACCUAAAUUAUCAAGAGUGAUCUUUAAUUUCCUAUGCCUCAGAAUUUAAGUGCUCAAAUUAAGAGUGAAUCUUGACUAGCUGGCUCUCUUCCCUUUGCUUUCUUGAAGCCUGUCAGUCUCCCUGCUACAGACUGAGAUACCCCAAAAUCACUUGGUGCUUUUGGCAACUUCAGGCAGUGGAUACUGAAGUUAAAGUGACAUUGUCUUAGAACUCCAUCACAAUUGCAGAUUGAAUGAAAGAAAGAGCACAGACACAAAAGAUACAGAGCUUUGAAUUUACAUGCACAUUAGAAAAUGUCUGAUCGCUUUUUUUUUUUCCCUCUGGCCAAGUUCUAUUUGCAAACUGAAAUACAGCAAGAUCAAUGCCAUGUGCAAAAACUUAAAUGGCAGCUUUUGAGAAAUUGCCCCAUUAACCUGAUGAGUUUCUAAUUACAGUAAGACAUAAGAGCUUUUUUUCCUCAUGCUAUGUAGGAUUUUGUCCUAACAGGUUUUUUUUUAAAGCUACCCUGCUGUUAAAAUAAUUUAACUGCAGUGUUUAAGUAUAAUUUGUCCUAUAUUUCUUUUUCUUUCUCUGAGGAGUUACAUAACUUUAUAAUUUCUAAUGAGGUUUCCUAAAUAUAAAUUGUGAUGUUAUAUUAUGCACCUGCUUUGGCUCCCAACCAAUUAAUUUGAAGUGGUUCAAGGCCAAAGAGAAGUCUAGGAUUACAUUCUAGCAUUCCUGGUGACAGGCUUGUUUAUGCACUUUUUUUUUUUUAAAUAAAUGGUUUAGUUGUUAA